rnacentral:rRNA from 1 species
UAUCCGGAAUUAUUGGGCGUAAAGGGCUCGUAGGCGGUUCGUCGCGUCCGGUGUGAAAGUCCAUCGCUUAACGGUGGAUCCGCGCCGGGUACGGGCGGGCUUGAGUGCGGUAGGGGAGACUGGAAUUCCCGGUGUAACGGUGGAAUGUGUAGAUAUCGGGAAGAACACCAAUGGCGAAGGCAGGUCUCUGGGCCGUCACUGACGCUGAGGAGCGAAAGCGUGGGGAGCGAACAGGAUUAGAUACCCUGGUAGUCCACGCCGUAAACGGUGGAUGCUGGAUGUGGGGACCAUUCCACGGUCUCCGUGUCGGAGCCAACGCGUUAAGCAUCCCGCCUGGGGAGUACGGCCGCAAGGCUAAAACUCAAAGAAAUCGACGGGGGCCCGCACAAGCGGCAGACCAUGC